rnacentral:rRNA from 1 species
CCUACGGGAGGCAGCAGUAGGGAAUAUUGGGCAAUGGUGGAGACACUGACCCAGCCAUGCCGCGUGCAGGAAGAAGGCCUUCUGGGUUGUAAACUGCUUUUGACAGGGAGCAAAGAACUCUUGCGAGAGGAGCUGAGAGUACCUGUAGAAUAAGCACCGGCUAACUCCGUGCCAGCAGCCGCGGUAAUACGGAGGGUGCAAGCGUUGUCCGGAUUUAUUGGGUUUAAAGGGUGCGUAGGCGGGAAAUUAAGUCAGAGGUGAAAGACUAUUGCUUAACAAUGGCAGUGCCUUUGAUACUGAUUUUCUUGAGUACAGUUGAGGCCGAUGGAAUGUAUGGUGUAGCGGUGAAAUGCAUAGAUACCAUACAGAACACCGAUUGCGAAGGCAGUCGGCUAAACUGUCACUGACGCUGAGGCACGAAAGCGUGGGGAUCGAACAGG